rnacentral:rRNA from 1 species
AUGGCUCUUCAGGCGGCCACUUCCUUCCUCCCGUCGGCCCUCUCUGCGCGCAAAGAGGGAGCGGCCAAAGACUCGGCCUUCUUCGGCGCUCGUCUCGCCGAUGGCCUCAAAUUCGACACCACCUCCCUGGGCUUGCGCACCAAGAGAGUGAACACGUCGUCGGUGGCCAUCCGCGCGCAGGCAGCGGCGGUGUCCGCGCCGACCGCGACCCCGGCGUCGCUGUCCGGCAAAAAGACCGUCCGCACGGGCAACGCGAUCAUUACGGGCGCGUCGUCGGGCCUCGGCCUCGCCACGGCCAAGGCUCUGGCGGAGUCAGGCAAGUGGCACGUCAUCAUGGCGUGCCGCGACUACCUCAAGACCGCGCGCGCAGCCAGGGCGGCCGGCAUGCCCAAGGGCAGCUACACCAUCGUGCACCUGGACCUGGCCUCCCUCGACAGCGUCCGCCAGUUCGUCAAGAACGUGCGCCAGCUCGACAUGCCCAUCGACGUCGUCGUCUGCAACGCCGCCGUGUACCAGCCCACCGCCAAGGAGCCUUCCUUCACCGCAGACGGCUUCGAGAUGAGCGUCGGCGUCAACCACCUCGGCCACUUCCUCCUCGCCCGCGAGCUCCUCGAGGACCUCAAGGCCUCCGACUACCCGUCCAAGCGCCUCAUCAUCGUCGGCUCCAUCACCGGGAACACGAACACGCUUGCCGGGAACGUGCCGCCGAAGGCCAACCUGGGCGACCUGAGGGGCCUGGCGGCCGGGCUGAACGGCGUGGGCAGUGCCGCCAUGAUUGACGGCGCGGAGUUCGACGGCGCCAAGGCAUACAAGGACAGCAAGGUGUGCAACAUGCUGACCAUGCAGGAAUUCCACCGGCGGUACCACGAGGAGACCGGCGUGACCUUCGCGUCGCUCUACCCGGGGUGCAUCGCCACCACUGGGCUCUUCCGUGAGCACAUCCCGCUGUUCCGCCUUCUCUUCCCGCCGUUCCAGAAGUACAUCACCAAGGGGUACGUGUCCGAGGAGGAGGCCGGCAAGAGGCUGGCGCAGGUCGUCAGCGAGCCCAGCCUCACCAAGUCUGGCGUCUACUGGAGCUGGAACAAGAACUCGGCGUCCUUCGAGAACCAGCUUUCCGAGGAGGCCAGCGACACCGAGAAGGCAAGGAAGGUAUGGGAGCUCAGCGAGAAGCUCGUCGGACUCGCAUGA